GUUUCUUUGGUAUUGAUAUAUUUUGGACCAGAAUACAUCAACUUUAAUGUUAGUAAGUCCCAGUGUAAAGAUCAUAUUAACUGUGCCGAAGAAUUUGGUUCAAUGCUAGAAUUGUAUUUCGUCUCCAAGUGCUCCUGAGUGGCUAUUGCAUGAUAAUGCAACCCAGAUUGAUAGAACAUAGGAGGACAAAGCCCUCCUGCUGUUUAUGAGAAUAUCUGCAUAUGCUAGGUAAAAUAUUAAGGACACCAGGAUGCCUGAAU